rnacentral:rRNA from 1 species
UACGGGGGGGCAAGCGUUGUUCGGAAUUACUGGGCGUAAAGGGCGCGUAGGCGGCCUUCUCAGUCAGACGUGAAAUCCCCGGGCUUAACUCGGGAACUGCGUCUGAUACUGGAAGGCUGGAGUUCGGGAGAGGAAUGUGGAAUUCCAGGUGUAGCGGUGAAAUGCGUAGAUAUCUGGAGGAACACCGGUGGCGAAGGCGGCAUUCUGGACCGAAACUGACGCUGAGGCGCGAAAAGCCCAGGGGGAGCAAACGGGGAU